ACUCAAGGAUACAACAGCCUUGAUGAAGCUACAAUCCCAGGGGGGUCAUCUGGACUCAUUAGUUUUUACCGAUUCACUUCCCCCUAAACCCAUGGAGGCUUUGGGAAUAAAUAGCCAAGAUCUGAUAAAGAUUUCAGAAAGAUCGUUCCAGAUCACCCUCAUCCAACUUCAAGUACCCCAAGCCCUCUUAAAUGCCCCCCACUCCUGGUGUGUGUGUAGGCGGUCCUUGACUUACAGACGUGAACUUCAAAAUCACCAAGGUGCGCCCACAAACGAU